rnacentral:rRNA from 1 species
AGCAUACCAAUAAGCGGAGGUCUUGGUCCAUUUAGAGGAAGUAAAAGUCGUAACAAGGUCUCCGUUGGUGAACCAGCGGAGGGAUCAUUACCGAGUUUACAACUCCCAAACCCAAUGUGAACCAUACCAAACUGUUGCCUCGGCGGGGUCACGCCCCGGGUGCGUCGCAGCCCCGGAACCAGGCGCCCGCCGGAGGGACCAACCAAACUCUUUCUGUAGUCCCCUCGCGGACGUUAUUUCUUACAGCUCUGAGCAAAAAUUCAAAAUGAAUCAAAACUUUCAACAACGGAUCUCUUGGUUCUGGCAUCGAUGAAGAACGCAGCGAAAUGCGAUAAGUAAUGUGAAUUGCAGAAUUCAGUGAAUCAUCGAAUCUUUGAACGCACAUUGCGCCCGCCAGUAUUCUGGCGGGCAUGCCUGUCCGAGCGUCAUUUCAACCCUCGAACCCCUCCGGGGGGUCGGCGUUGGGGAUCGGGAACCCCUAAGACGGGAUCCCGGCCCCGAAAUACAGUGGCGGUCUCGCCGCAGCCUCUCCUGCGCAGUAGUUUGCACAACUCGCACCGGGAGCGCGGCGCGUCCACGUCACGUAAAACACCCAACUUCUGAAAUGUUGACCUCGCGUCACGUAAGAAUACCCGCUGAACAUAAGCAUAUCAAUAAGCGGAGGAAA